GCCCGGCUAGCUCAAUCGGUAGAGCGUGAGACUCUUAUAGGACCUCACGAUUCUAACAGAGAUAUAUCUCAAGGUUGUGGGUUCGACCCCCACGUCGGGCU